rnacentral:lncRNA from 1 species
AUGGGAAAUAAGCAAGACGAACUCCAACUCUUAGCACAGCACCACACAUACGAUGUCAUAGGCAUCACUGAAACCUGGUGGGAUGACUCCCAUCACUGGAAUGUAGCCAUUGAGGGCUAUAACCUCUUUCACAGAAAUAGAACAAAAGGGAGAGGAGGGGGAGUAGCUUUAUAUGUCAAAAACAGUUACGUUGCAGAAGAAAUGCAAGACUGUAAUCUGGGAAACCAGCUUAAAAGGAUCUGGAUAAGAAUCAAGGGAACCGGGACUCAAAAAGAUCUUGUCGUGGGUGUCUACUACAGACCUCCGAGUCAGGAUGAAGGACUUGAUGAAGCCUUCUGUCAACAGCUGACCAAACAGGCACAAAGAAGAGAUAUAGUAGUCAUGGGCGAUUUCAAUUAUUCCGAUAUUUGCUGGAAAACAAACUCAGCCAAGAGUACAAAGUCCAACAAAUUCAUCACUUGCCUUGCAGACAAUUUUAUGGUCCAGAAGGUAGAAGUGGCAACAAGAGGAUCAGCAACUCUUGAUCAAAUCUUAACAAAUGUGGAAGACCUGAUCAAUACAGUUGAAGUGGUUGGAUCCUUAGGGGCAAGUGACCAUGUGCUCCUGGAGUUUGCAAUACAAAGGAAUGCUGAAACUAAGACAAGUCAAACACGCAUUCUGGACUUUAAGAGAGCUGACUUCCAAAAAAUGAAGGAAUUACUGAGCGGCAUUCCAUGGACGCCGAUAUUAAAAAACAAGGGAGUUAAGGAUGGAUGGGAGUUUUUCAAAAGUGAAAUACUCAAGGCGCAAAUGCAAACAGUGCCAACAAAGAAGAAAAAUAAGACAAGUGCAAAGAAGCCAGAAUGGAUGUCCAAAGAACUUCUAACUGAGCUAAAGCUCAAAAGUGACAUGCACAAGAAGUGGAAAAGGGGAGAAAUCACCAAAGAAGAAUUCAAACGUAUAGCCAACACCUGUAGGGAAAAGGUUCGCAAGGCUAAAGCACAAAAUGAGCUCAGGCUUGCCAGGGACAUAAAAAACAACAAAAAAGGCUUUUUUGCUUACGUUGGUAGAAAAAGGAAGAAAAAGGAGGCGAUAGGGCCUCUGCAAGGAGAAGAUGGGGUGAUGGCGACAGGGGACAGGGAAAAGGCAGAACUGCUCAAUGCCUUCUUUGCCUCGGUCUUCUCACAAAAAGAAAGCCAUCUUCAACCUCAGCAACAUGGAAUGGACGAAGGAUUGGGGGAAAUCCAACCCCAAAUAGGGAAACAAGCUGUCCAGGAACACCUGGCCUCUCUAAACGAAUUCAAGUCCCCAGGGCCAGAUCAGCUACAUCCAAGAGUAUUGAAGGAAUUAGCGGAAGUUAUUUCAGAACCACUAGCAAUUAUCUUCGAGAGUUCUUGGAGAACGGGAGAAGUCCCAGCAGAUUGGAGGAGGGCGAAUGUGGUCCCUAUCUUCAAGAAGGGAAAAAUGACCCAAACAAUUACCAUCCAGUCAGCCUCACAUCGAUACCAGGCAAGAUUCUAG